GCUCGCAGGGCUGGGCCGCGCCGGCGCUUCCGCGGCCUUGGGCACGCCGAGCUCUGCAUCCCCAAAUCCUGCUGCAGUGGGCAUCCCUGCCAGCCCACCGAGCCAUGGCCAGGUGGCACAGGACAGACAAGAGUGGCGUGGCUAUAUACAAUUUCAAAAGCUCAGGGAUACCACAGCUGUCUCUGCAGAUUGGUGAUGUGGUCCAUAUCGUGGAGUCCUGUGAAGAUUGGUACAAGGGUUACCUGGUGAGGUACAAAGGAGCAGAGGUAAGAUCACAUUAUCUGUUCCUAUGAGAUUGAUUUAAGGGGUCAGCCCAUGAAGUGGGUUUUGAG
rnacentral:lncRNA from 1 species